UACGUAGGGUGCAAGCGUUAAUCGGAAUUACUGGGCGUAAAGCGUGCGCAGGCGGUUUUGUAAGUCUGUCGUGAAAUCCCCGGGCUCAACUGGGAAUUGCGAUGGAGACUGCAAGGCUAGAAUCUGGCAGAGGGGGGGUAGAAUUCCACGUGUAGCAGUGAAAUGCGUAGAGAUGUGGAGGAACACCGAUGGCGAAGGCAGCCCCCUGGGUCAAGAUUGACGCUCAUGCACGAAAGCGUGGGGAGCAAACAGG
rnacentral:rRNA from 1 species